UGGAUGGGACACAGGAGAGCGCAUUGCAAAUGGUGGAGAAAAUUGGAAGCUCAUCUUUCAGUGAAUCAGGAAUGGCGAAUAGGUUUUGAACAAAUUCGGAACAGGUUAUAUUUGAUUCUGAAUAGGUUUUGAAUAGAUUCGGAACAGAUUAUAUUUGGUUUUGAACAGGUUUUGAACAGGUUCUGAAGAGGUUAAUUUCAGAUUUUGAACAGAUUCUGAACAGAUUUUGAACAGGUUCUGAAGAGGUUAAUUUCAGAUUUUGAACAGAUUCUGAACAGGUUUUGAACAGGUUCUGAAGUGGUUAAUUUCAGAUUUUGAACAGAUUCUGAACAGGUUAAUUUCAGAUUUUGAAUUUCAGAUUGUGAACAGGUUAAUUUGAUUUUCAGAUUCAGAUUCUGAAGAGGUUAAUCUGAAUUUCAGAUUCAGUCAAUUUGUGUAGAAUGACAAGUUCAG